CCCAGCCCCGCCUCUCUCGGCGGACCGCGCCCCCUUCCGGGAGCCCCGCCCCGUUCGCCGCGCCUCCUCCUCCGCACAGCUCCGGUUGCGGGGAGGCCCGGGUGGGUACCCGGCGCUCCGGCUCCCAGUCUCCUGGGCUUCUCCAGUCCUUCAGCGCCGUUCUCCGGUCACAGGGAAUGAAAGCGAGGAAGAAGGAAACGGUGUCGAGAAUUGCGAAGAGAGAAAGCAUAGAAAACCCACAUUAGAGGCACUCCCAGAGCAGAAACCCUUCGGAGCAUCCCGACUUCCUCGGCCCGCGUGCAAUCCAGGCAAAAUUGAGGUUGUCUCUGAGCCGCCCUCCCUAAGCAGGUCGGAAAGCCCCCGAAUCAUCCCAGGUCCCGCCGCGCUGCACUCGCAACCUGGGGUGGAGGUCCCUCUAGUGGUUGGCACCAAACAAAAGUUCUGUCUUAUGAAGAGCCGAGGUCAGGAAGCAUUUCCCUGUGCCCAGCGCCAAGGUCUGGGACCUUAGGUCCAAGAAAAGCGUUGGCAAUGUCUGACCACAGGAAUGGGUUCUCGAACUGGGGAGGACUGAAGCUGGAGAUCUGGUCCAGCCCCUACCUCCAGCGUGUGGCCUGAACCCGUUUUGGUUGUACUGCUAUGUUGUGGCCCUGCCCAGGCCUCCAAGGACUGGCUGCUGUUAAGCUGUUUAAAAUCCCUGUAGGCCUCAGAUGGCAGCGACACCAGGGACUCGGCAUAGUCCCCAGCUCUGGCAGGAGUCACCACAGCCCUAGCCUUUAGUUCUCUACAGGCUGGAGUGUCGACAAACUCCACAGGACACAACUUUUUCAAACCAAAUUUACCCUCGCGGUCUGAAAUGACCAGUAGGCCCAGGAGAAUUUUACAUGUGAACAGAACCUAACCCACCCUGGCAAAUAUGAGACGUGUGGUCACUGCGGGAACCUGGCCAGCAGCAGACCAAAGCACAGCCAGCAGGGGAAGGCUGGGGCCCGCAAGAGUUGUGUUACAACAGGACACCCUUCAGUUCUCUUUCACUUCCUUAAAAUAGCAGCAGAGCGACUUUUGUAGACGCAGGCUGCCACAGUUCACACAAGGUCAUGGCUGUUUCCGAAUCCCACCCUUUAUUGCCCUAGCGGAGCCACUCCCCUUACCUCCGCCCCCAGAAACUGCUAGCCUGUUCUUAAAUUGAUACAGUUACCUUUUUAAAUGUUCUAAGUCACCGGCUCUGGAGCUUCUUUGCACUUUGGAACCAACUUGCGGGAAGGAACUUUAAAAAUACUGAUAUCUCGAUCCAUCCCCAGAGGUUCUGAUUUAAUGGUCUUGGGGAUAUGGCCACGGCAUGAGGACUGUUAAAACUCCGCAGGUGAUUCUUAUGUGCAACAAAGUUUAAGAACCACUGAUGUAGGCCAUGUCGAUGUCAGUCUUCACUUAAAUCCAACAAGACCCCAGAGCUAAAACGUUCACCUGAAAGAAACCCCAUUCCCAGGCCUGCAUACUGACCUGCGCUGGCUCACAAGAAGCAAAGUGGUCCCUUAACAGGGGCUUCCUGGAGAAAAUGUCUUGACCUAAAAGAGUGAUUCGAGCUGCAGGGAUUUAAGAGAGACAGGGCCUUGCUCUGUCACCCAGGCUGAAAUGCAGUGUUGCAAUCUUGGCUCGCUGUAGCCUCAAGCUCUUGGACUCAGGCGAUUCUCCUAUCUCAGCUUCCUAAGUAGCUGGGACUACAGGUACAUUGCUAAUUUUUUAAAAAUUAGCCGGGGGGGCGGGGGGUCUCUUUUGAAAUUAGAUGGUGGUCUCUCCAUGUUGCCAGACUGGUCUUGAACUUCUGGUAUCAAGUGAUCCUCCCGCCUUGGCCUCCCAAAGUGCUGAGAUUACAGGUGUGAGUCACUGCACCCAGCCCUAAAUCAUACCAUUUAGAGUCAUGAUUGUUGGAGAAUUUUGAAAACAUCUGCAUUGUAGAAACCUUUCCCCUCCCCUCCCUGACCCUUGCUCCUGUCAUGUACCAGUGUACUUCCUGGACAUCAAAGUGCCUGCUGCAUAUGUCCAACUCACUGGCUGGGAGGGUGCUUCAGCAGCAACACACAUCAAGGGCAGGUCUCCUUGAAGCCAACAGAAGUAAGAGGAAGGGGCUGAGAAUCAGUGCCAGUUGGGUGGGGGGACACCUGGCCUCUCCCUCUCUCGGCACCAGCUUUUCCCAAGGUCUGAUCAGAAUGUUUCCUUUCUACUGCCAUGUCCAUUUUUUCAUGGUAUUUUAAUUUCCUUCUUUAUCCUGGAAAAGACAUUGGAGAAUCCCCUUCCCCCAAGUUAAAUAAGACAAGGUUGGAGUUUUUCAAAAGGAGCAUUUACUAGGAAACUAAAG
rnacentral:lncRNA from 10 species